CAUGGAGGCCGGCUUACUGACUUUUAGGCUUCGGCUUUGGCCUACAAAGUGCACAUUAUUCUUGGUAUUCCACAAAGCAACAGAGUUAAGAAGUGAGAUUACAGCUCAAUCGUCCCUAUAAGAGUUCCAAGUUAGUAUAACAGUGGAAUGCUGGAGGACCACCAUUUGUCCAUUCUGAAUGAAAGGGAUAGCAAGCCAUGAGCAAUCUAUGGAAUUAGCGAUUUUUAAUGUGGCAAAGCAUUUCUGGAUACAGUGGCCUAGGAAGAAGUGCCAAAUGGGCUCCAUGGAUAGCUCAGAUGUUCCAGGGGAGCCUAUAUCUGAACAAGGGUAGCCUCAGCUGGCUGGUGGUCUUCCUUGGUUGACCACUAAGA